rnacentral:rRNA from 1 species
UAUUAUGGUAGGGGAGCAUUCUGUAAGCUGUUGAAGGCAAAUUGUAAGAUUUGCUGGAGGUAUCAGAAGUGAGAAUGCUGACAUGAGUAACGAUAAGAGAGGUGAAAAACCUCUCCGCCGAAAACCCAAGGUUUCCUGUCCAACGUUAAUCGGGACAGGGUGAGUCGACCCCUAAGGCGAGGGCGAAAGCCGUAGUCGAUGGGAAAUAGGUUAAUAUUCCUAUACUUCUUGUUACUGCGAUGGAGUGACGGAGAAGGCUAGGCCAGCAAGGUGAUGGAUAUCCUUGUUUAAGGUUGUAGGUUGGAAUUCUAGGUAAAUCCGGAAUUCUAAGACCGAGAACUGAUGACGAAUAUUUCUUUUAGAAAUACUAAGUGGUUGAUGCCAUGCUUCCAGGAAAAACUUCUAAGCUUCAGGUAGCAAGGAAUCGUACCGUAAACCGACACAGGUGGGUGGGUAGAGAAUACCAAGGCGCUUGAGAGAACUCUGGUGAAGGAACUAGGCAAAAUGGUACCGUAACUUCGGGAGAAGGUACGCCCUCAUUAGGUGAAGAGACUUGCUCUCGGAGCCGAAGAGGGUCGAAGAUACCAGGUGGCUGCGACUGUUUACUAAAAACACAGCACUCUGCUAACACGAAAGUGGACGUAUAGGGUGUGACGCCUGCCCGGUGCCGGAAGGUUAAUUGAUCGGGUUAGCCCUUGUGGCGAAGCUCGUGAUUGAAGCCCCGGUGAACGGCGGCCGUAACUAUAACGGUCCUAAGGUAGCGAAAUUCCUUGUCGGGUAAGUUCCGACCUGCACGAAUGGCGUAACGAUGGCCACGCUGUCUCCACCAGAGACUCAGUGAAAUUGAAUUUGCGGUGAAGAUGCCGUAUACGCGCGGCAAGACGGAAAGACCCCGUGCACCUUUACUAUAGCUUCACACUGGACUUUGAAUUUAUUUGUGUAGGAUAGGUGGGAGACUUUGAAGCGUAGGCGCUAGCUUACGUGGAGUCGUCCUUGAAAUACCACCCUUAUAACUUUGGAGUUCUAACUUGGAUCCGUUAACCGGAUUGAGGACAGUGUGUGGUGGGUAGUUUGACUGGGGCGGUCUCCUCCUAAAGAGUAACGGAGGAGUGCGAAGGUAACCUCAGCACGGUCGGACAUCGUGCUUUGAGUGCAAUGGCAUAAGGUUGCUUAACUGCGAGACAGACAUGUCGAGCAGAUACGAAAGUAGGUCAUAGUGAUCUGGUGGUUCUGUAUGGAAGGGCCAUCACUCAACGGAUAAAAGGUACGCCGGGGAUAACAGGCUUAUACCCCCCAAGAGUUCACAUCGACGGGGGUGUUUGGCACCUCGAUGUCGGCUCAUCACAUCCUGGGGCUGGAGCAGGUCCCAAGGGUAUGGCUGUUCGCCAUUUAAAGUGGUACGCGAGCUGGGUUUAGAACGUCGUGAGACAGUUCGGUCCCUAUCUGCCGUGCGCGUUGGAAAUUUGAGAAGAGUCGCUCCUAGUACGAGAGGACCGGAGUGAACGAACCCCUGGUGUUCGGGUUGUCACGCCCGUGGCAUUGCCCGGUAGCUACGUUCGGAAAGGAUAAUCGCUGAAAGCAUCUAAGCGAGAAGCCUCCUUCAAGACUAGAUUUCCCUGGACCUUCGGGUCCUUAAAGAGCCGUUCAAGACUAGGACGUUGAUAGGCGGGGUGUGUAAGCGCUGCGAGGCGUUGAGCUAACCCGUACUAAUUGCUCGAUAGGCUUGACCA